rnacentral:lncRNA from 1 species
GGCUUAUUGGGUAGAGAUUUUAAGGAAAAGACUGAAAAGACUGCAUGUUUCGACAAUGCGUGGAAAAGGUUGGUGGAUAUUACAGAUUGUUCCCACUUUCCAUCUUCCCAUAAUAUAAAGCAAGAUCCUUCCUCAUGCGAAAUCAUCUGAACUUAGGGAGGAAGGUGAGCUCGAAUGAGCUCUGGGAAGAUGCAGGUAUUGCUGAAGACUGAAUCUCAGGGAGCUGCCAGAGGAAAACCACAGUUCAGGCGACCCAAGGAACCAUCUGCUGCCUUGAUUGCAGAAGCCGUAUCCUGACACGUGCCAGCAGG